rnacentral:rRNA from 1 species
CACGUAGGGCGCAAGCGUUGUCCGGAAUUAUUGGGCGUAAAGAGCUCGUAGGCGGUCCGUCACGUCCGCUGUGAAACCCAGGCUCAACCUGGCUUGCAGUGGAUACGGGCAGACUAGAGGUAGGUAGGGGAGAAUGGAAUUCCCGGUGUAGCGGUGAAUGCGCAGAUAUCGGGAGGAACACCGGUGGCGAAGGCGGUUCUCUGGGCCGGUACUGACGCUGAGGAGCGAAGUGUGGGAGCGAACAGG